UGGGGAAUAUUGGACAAUGGGGGGAACCCUGAUCCAGCCAUGCCGCGUGUGUGAAGAAGGCCUUAUGGUUGUAAAGCACUUUAAGCGAGGAGGAGGGUACUGGUAUUAAUACUACCAGGUACUGGACGUUACUCGCAGAAUAAGCACCGGCUAACUCUGUGCCAGCAGCCGCGGUAAUACAGAGGGUGCUAGCGUUAAUCGGAUUUACUGGGCGUAAAGCGUGCGUAGGCGGCUAAUUGAGUCGGAUGUGAAAUCCCCGAGCUUAACUUGGGAAUUGCAUUCGAUACUGGUUAGCUAGAGUGUGGGAGAGGAUGGUAGAAUUCCAGGUGUAGCGGUGAAAUGCGUAGAGAUCUGGAGGAAUACCGAUGGCGAAGGCAGCCAUCUGGCCUAACACUGACGCUGAGGUACGAAAGCAUGGGGAGCAAACAGG
rnacentral:rRNA from 1 species